rnacentral:lncRNA from 1 species
UUGGCUGUUAUCUACUGGACUAACGGAUGGACUAACUGGAACACUAAACUAACUGAUGGACAUCUUUGUUCUAUAGAUCAGAUAGACAAUCUGUAAAAUAAAUGUUAGAGGACGAGAUACAAUAGACAAAAGGACAUAGAGAAUUUGAGGAAGGGAAGAAGGGUUGAAGAAGGAGAACAACCAUAAUUUUUGUUAAGCCCACAUGAUAAACAAGAUUUUUAAUUCUUUCAUAAGGUUGUCAAUUACUGGUGUCAUUUGCGAUGUUAUUUACAAAGAUCAUAAAUAACAAAAUUUGUCCAUCAAUAAAUAGAAGAUGGAAAGGAUGAAUCGUAGAGCAUCUCACAGUUUACCUGAGCUGAGGAGAGUUGUCUACUGGACUAACUAAUGGACAGCUUUGUUCAGUAGUUCUGAUGGAAAAUAUGUAAUAUAAAGUUAGGGGACGACUUACGAUGGACAACAAACUCAUGGACACAAUUUUGAAUAGAUCUGGUCCAUAAAAACUUUCAUUGACGGGUUCCAAUGGACAACAUCACCUACGUAAUUUGAGCCAAAAUCGGCCAGGAUAGUGAAGUUCUGGCGUGUGGCGAUUCGAGACUGUUGCCUCCGUGUUCACCGCCGUCGACUGGAAACACAGGAUAUGGUCUGGCAUCCAUUGUAUCUGAAGUAGAAGGAGGUGGGGUAAAA